GACCAUCAAACCAACAACACCGCUCGCUACGCAAAACGGCGCAUCCUGCUGCGCCCCCUUCUUCAUCUUCUUCUUCCUCUUCUCUUCUUCAUCGGCACCUCGUCGUCAUCGUCGUUGAGUCUGGACCUUCUUCUGCUUCCGUUGCUUCUCGCGCUCGCCGCUCGCACAAACGUCUCGGUUCUUUCGAUUCCUACGCUUUCUCUUUCUUUCUCUUCUCCGCCUAUUUAUCUAUCUAUCUAUCUAUCUCUCCUUCUAUCUAUUUAUUUCUCUCUCUCUCUCUCUUUCUUUCUCUCUCUCUCUCUCUCUCUCUCUCUCUUUUUAUCUCUCUCAUCGUUGCUGCAAUCGUCGGACCAAAGGAACAUACAAAUUUCAAGAAUUUGACAAGUCUGAGAAGAAGAGAUCGGCCAGUCGAUCGGAUAAUAUCCAUUGAAAAUUAACAAGAGAAAAAAUGAAGAAGACGUUCCGCGAGAAGAUUUAUAUUUUAUCCUUCUUUCUUUUUAUUUUACCCCCUCUCUCUCUCUCUCUCUCUCUCUCUUUUUCUCUCCUUCCUUCCUUCCUUCCUCCAAGUCUUGAUUUACGUUUUAUUCGAAAGGUGAUCGAGAAAAAAGAAAAGAAAUCAUCGACUGCAUACAAAUAAUGAAGAUCAUCGAAGAAUUCAUCAGAGGAGAUCUAUCUUAAGAUACCAGGUAGAACCAUGCGGUUCGUCGCCCUGGUACCAGAGUUCUCAUGAAUGAAGGAGGGUUCAACAGGAUCGAUGGAGAGGGCGUGUCUUCCUGAAGUGAGGAGAGGUGAGGAGAGGAGAGAAGACCGAAGAAGAGAGAAGGGGAGGGGGUUGGUAUCCGUGACGUUUUCGACCCCACCUGGGAAGGGUACAUGACGGAGUACACGUGCUCGAUUACGUCACGAGAAUCUCGGAGCAGGACGCGAAAGGGCAAAUCCAUUCAAUUCGUUUGUCUUGUAAGGAUUGGUUACGACGUCUUCGACACCUACUUGACUUUAAGUGAAAAGAGUGAGGUAAUUUCUUGCCCACUUCUCCCCCCCCCCCCCCUCUCCCCUCCCCACUCUCUCUCUCUCUCUCUUUCUCUCUCUCUUUCUCUCUCUCUGUCUCUGUCUCUCUCUUUCUCUCUUCCUCUUGAUUUAUUUAAUAAUAUUAUAGUUUACCCUUCGAUACGAAAUUAAUAUCGUGACUUUGGUAUUCGAAUUACGCGUCACCUUUUUUGAUUUACUUGAACAUAAAUUUUUGCCAUCUAGAUAUCGAUCCCUUUCUCCCUUUUACGACUUACUGUCUAAUCUUAUAUAAGAGACGUUUAAAUUCCUGAAUAAAUUUAAAACGCGUUUUAAUCACUGCAAUACCGAUGAUUCCGUCAACCAAACAGGAAGUUUCCAUUCAAAGGAAGUUUCUCUCGUUCGAUGGAAAAGCAUAUCAAGUUUCGUGAACGAAAAUGCGAUCUAUUAACGAAAAUUUUUUUGAAUUAUCGAUAUCGUUUCGAAUAAGUCUAAGAAAAAUAAUAGGUUUCAUUAUUCAAAAUUUAAUUUUUAUUAUUAUCCUCAUUUUAUCACAUUCGAUUAAAUAUUUUUAUUUCUUUAUUAUUGUUAUAAAAAUUAAUGUAAUAAAAAUUAAUUAAUCCAAAGCUCUCCCUGGGAAAUUGAACAUAUUUUUUUCUUUAUAGUCACAGUCUAUGCGAGUAUGAAAUUUCUUAAAAAUUCGAGGGACGUCGAUAUUACCAAUAUCGAUACCAUUUCAGAGGUAUUUAAAUAACUCAAUAUUAAAUUCUUCCUAUCUCCUGCUUGUAUGAGAGUCGAACGUUCGCCCGGAGAGGGGUAGGGUGAGCGGGAGAGGGGCUGGGGCUGGGGCUGAGACUAGAUCUGGAGUGGUAUGGGGUGAAGGGUAGAACAGACGAGAGUUUAAAUCGAUGGACGUAACGCCUCCUAGAAGUAACCGUGACCCACAGUUCUGGGCAGACGAAGUUCCGGCCCGUCGAGGGAAUGUUCCUUUGUGUCGUGGAGCCCAUCCACUCUACUCAUCCCUUCCAACGUCAUUGCCACCACCGUCCUUCUCAUUCCGUUUCUCUCCCUCUCCCCCCUCUCUCUCUCCCCCCCCCCUUUUUCUGAAUUAACUUUUCAGUUGAAAUACGUUGUUUUCGAGUAGAUUCUACAUUCUGAACCGAUCUUUCUUCUCGGAUCCCUUUAAAAGAUUCAUCCCUUUCGUAUCAAAGAAAAAGAUAUUUUGAUUGAUUUAUUUUUGACACCGAUCGAAUCAUUUUUAUAGUAUUGUCUAUUACGGUCAUAACAAUUUUUUUAUAAAAAUCCUACCGCCCCUUAUGUGUUUGUUUUUGAUUUAAUUCAAUUGAAAAGCAUAGAUAACUUAUGUCGAACUCGAAAUCAUCGAUCAGAGUCAUCGGCAAUAUUAGUUAUGGUAUCCCAUAUGUUCCUUUUUUAGAUCGUCUGAAAACUGUAGAGGAGGGUGGACUUCUUGAUUAUGCGAAUAUCUACAGACAAUAGAACCCCAACGUCAGCUGCUCCCACCCUCUUCUUUCUCUCUCCACAUCUCCUUCCCUUUCUCAAAUCACCCCUAAACCCCGGGCCUGGAUAGCACGGGGUCGAACACCCUCCGCGAAAUAAGCAAUAAGUUAUGGUGGGACCGACGACCCCCAUCCCCUCCAAUGUCAUCGCUACACCCCUGAUCAUGGGUCCACAAGGGUGAGCGUGUACGAUAUCGUUGCAUAGUAUAGAUCGACCGCUCAUCAAGCUCAGUUCACAUUGCGACGCUCAUCGUAAAACGUAGCUUUCUCUCUCUCUCUCUCUCUCUCCCUCCGUUCCUCUCUCUCUCUCUCUCUCUCUCUCUCUCUCUCUCUUCUCUCUCUUUCUCUUUACAUUGUUUUAUAAUUCUUUUUUCUACUUUUCAUUACGUUUCACCUACUUCUCUAUCUCUGUUAUACUAAUUACUCUAAGAUUGCACGCGCGCGCGUAAAUUUGUCGAUUCGCUCGCUUGUCACGGAAAGAAUCAAUGUGUCGUGCGGAACUUCGAUAUAACGUCAACGAAACGAUCGCUUCGGAGUGUCGAGAGUGGAGAAGUGCGCGUUUGUAGUUCGCUGUCAUUUUCGUGAAAAUUACGUGCUUCGAGAUCGAAUUCAAUUAUCCGCGAAGAAUAAAUAAAAUAAAAUAAAACUGGUGGGUUAUCUCGAAUCGUGUUCGUAAUUGUUAUUGUUGGGAAUCGGUGUGAAAGUAAGUAAGGUGUAACUUUGAAAAGAAUUCGUUGAAUAAUUCGCCGUUAAAAUGAGAUUAUACGAACGUGAUUCGUGUUGUUAUCUGGAAUUGCAAAGAUCGAAGAAACCUAUCGAAUUCGGAAAGCAUCGAAAAACAUUGCGGUACUCAUCGGGAUAAUGUCGAACGAAUAACUUAAUCCGAUUGAUAUAUUGACGUUUUUCUUUUUCGAGUGUACUUUUUAGGAACAUGUCUCUGUGCGAUCCUUCGGACAAGUUUAAGACAAGAGUGCAUCUUCGACGUCAGCAUGAUCGAAAGCCGAGUGAAAAAAAAAAAUAAAUAAAAAAGAGAGAAGAUUCGUGAGUCUGUGCUCCUUGCGUUCACUGCGGGCUUCCAUGUGCCAACUUUUCAAAAUUCAUAAGGCACGCGGUGAAUGCCAAGAGCGGACCAAAAUCAACAUUGUCUCUGUCCAAUUGGUGUGUCGCCUCGAAGAAGCCUUGUCAAUGUUAGUGACUUGGAAGAAAGCUCGAAGGUUCUCGUCGAGAACACGCCGAUUCAUUGCCAUAUCCUUUUCUUCCUUCUUCCCGUUAAGCGAGGUCAGUACUCACUAUUCGCCGUUCGUCCUUCUACGUUCUAUCCGUAAAUAUCUUUAUCUUCAUUCUCUUUAUUUCUUACCGAUUCACAAAUUAUGCAGAAAACAUUAAAGAAAUGUCGGAAAGAAAGAAAAGUUGGAAAGGAUAACGCGUAUCUCCUGGCACGGAGUGGCACUUUGAUAGUAACUGCUAGAACUACUCCAUUGGUGGCAGAGUCAUUGAUGGUAUUGGAGAACGACGAGAACGAAGGGAAAGAAAAAGAAACAGAAGAUUACGAAGAAAAAGUAGAAAAGAAAUAGAAGAAAAGAGAGCUAGAAAAGAGGCGAGCUCGCAAUCGUUUUAAGUGUCCCAUCGGACAUGAGUGUAGGAUGGAAGAGAGAAAAAGGGGAUGGAGGUCGGACUUAAAGUACGAACCCCCGUAAUGGAAAUUGGGGAAUUCCCGGGUGUACGACGAAAACGGCCGGUUGUAUCGACCGAGUCGUCGAGCACGAAAUGAGAGAAGUGGGGAGAGCUUAGGGUUGGACGGACGUUGCUUGGCAACCUCCCCCUACUCACAGCAUCCAUCCUGGACCAAGCAUAUUACUACUACUGCUACUACCACCACUAUCAUCACUACUACUACUAUUGCUAUUACUAAUACUACUGCUACUACUACUGCUACUACUACUGCUACUACUGCUACUACUACUACUACUUCUACUAUUACUAUUAUUGUUACUACUGCUACUGUUACCGUUGCUGCUACUAUUGCUGUUGAAAUUACCAUCACUGGCAACAUCACUGCUAUCAACGCCGGUUGGUGUGUUACAUAUAUUCUCGGCCAGUCGCAGCCCAACUCUACACGACGUCGAUGCCUACCACAGUCACGAUCAUGGCCGUUCUCGUCUAGCCUCCUCUAUCUCCUCUUUUUCAUUUUUAAAUUAAUUUCUUUUCCUGCUUUUUUAUCCGACAUAUUUUGCGUAAUUUCAUCCAUUAUUCCAUGACGAUACUCAACCAUUGUCUUUUCCUUUAUGUCCUAUUUAUUUUUCAACAAUCGUUCUCUCUAUACUGCGUUGAUACACUUUCCGCGUGCCUCUUAUUGUUGUUCUUUUUUAUUAAAAAUCUUGAAGAUACGAAAAUAGAUAUAUUGUUUCUUCAAAUAUUAGGCUUUGUUCGAUUAACAGCAGUAUGUAAUAAUUAAUAUUUUUGCGAUAUAUCAAUACUUUGCUUAAAAUGAUAUUAAUUAAUAUGUAUGAUUGGAAAUUAAUGUGAUAUUGUAAAGAUAAUCAACUUAUUUUAAUAAACGA